UACGUAGGGUGCGAGCGUUGUCCGGAAUUAUUGGGCGUAAAGAGCUUGUAGGCGGUUUGUCGCGUCUGCCGUGAAAGCCCAGGGCUUAACCCUGGGUCUGCGGUGGGUACGGGCAGACUAGAGUGUGGUAGGGGAGACUGGAAUUCCUGGUGUAGCGGUGAAAUGCGCAGAUAUCAGGAGGAACACCAACAGCGAAGGCAGAUCUCUGGGACGUUACUGACGCUGAGACGCGAAAGCGUGGGGAGCAAACAGG
rnacentral:rRNA from 1 species